CGUCAGGGCCCCUCCUGCUCCCACCGCCGCAAAGGCAAGAGAGGGGCAGGUGCGGCUGAGGGGUGUGGCUGUGGCCAUGUGCUGGAGGGAGGUGUCCUGGAGGCCCUGGGAGAGAGGUCUGGGGACUGGCAGCAACCCGGUGGGUCUCCACCCGCUUCUUUACUGCCUGUGCCUUCCAACCGGGCAGUGACUGCAUUCCGAGGCAUCUCGCCAGGAGAGCGGCCCCUCCUCCCCACUCCUGCCGUUGCCUCUCGGGCAUGUGACCUGGACAUUCACUCAGGGCCCCGGCUCAGAAGGGCCCACACUCAGCUUAAUGUCCUGCUGUAGCCAUCUUGAAGUUCUUUAUAGGUUUUGAACAGAGAGCCCUGUAUUUUCAUUUUCACCGAGUCCUGCACAUUACGUCUCUGUCACACGUGCAGCUAGCUGCCCCCAGGCCCACGGAAUGUCAGGUCUGAAGUAGAUGGGGUCUCUUGCCUGAGGCCCUCCUACACGUCCCACCUCUUGGGGCCAGCACUCUGGCCCCAAGGUCCCCACUCUGGCCCUGCUCAUCCCCUUCCAACCAUUCCUGGAUGCCCACCUGCUGGUUCCUAACCUGCUGGAACGAGCUGGCUGCUGAGGCGUCACUUUCUCCGAGAAUGUCCCCUGUCCUUUCCUCCCCAGGUGGUCUUGUGAAUAGAGCACUGGACUCCUGGCUCGGCUCAGCCAAAGUGACGCCUGACCGCUGGCAGACGUACCUGGAGCCCUGUGCUCAGCACCCCCGCUGCACGGUCACUGGAGUAAGCUCAUCUCCCUGCCUCUAGGCUCCUCCCGGCCCCUGAGCCUUCUCCCUCCUUUCACCUGCUCCUGUGCCGUCAGGCAGGCUGCAGGAGUUCAGCCACCAUCUGUGGGUGACAAGUGGGGCCGCUGGACGGCGCAGAGCACAGUGAGUGGGUAGCUUUAAGCCCCAGCCCCCGAGGACAUCAGAACCCAUUAUAUGCUCACUCCGGGGCUGUGGCUGAGCUCCUGCUGUGUGCCAGACGCGAUGCGUGGAGCUCCAGACAGGAGCAGAAGUCAGGGGUGGGCACCCUGCGCCCACCCUGCCAGGGUACUGGAUGGGGAAGAGCAGUGUGGGCACACUUACACUGAGACGCAAGGCUGCGGCUGCCCCGAGGAGGUGACCUCUUGAGAGAGAGGAGCACAGGGCACCAUACCAGGUGAUGGGAUUCAAGUGUGAGCAAAGCCCUCUGAGUUUAUGGUGAUGACCGCGCCAAGGAGAGGGACGCUACUGCCUCCCCAGGAGUGGGCGAGCUCCUGGAGCGCAGAGACCGUCUGAUAUAAACUUGGUAUGCACUGAAUGCUCCAUAAUAGGAGUGAAGAGAUGGAGGGGAAGGAUAGUAAGGUGCUAGCAGUUUAGUCCAGGGCCUAGGUGGAUGUAGACGCAGGCGUAUACAUGGGGAAACAUCUUUAGAGGGAGACUCAGCAGAGGACCUGGUGCUGGACCAGAUGUGGAGGAGAGAACAGGUGCUACCAAAUACGCACGCACCUGCAAGAAACUGAGCACAUGUGUUCACCACCCAGUCUUUCCAUUCUGGAAACGACGCCGAACACGUGUUCAGUGCUAAGGGAAACGGCGGCAAAGGUUCAGCCCUUGUUCCCGUUAGAAAGCAACGCUCAAGAGGCGGCCGCACGUCCCUCAGAGGGCGGAGACUGGAGCGUGCAUCCUGACUCUUGGGUUAGAGAAUCCAAAGCAGUUUGUGAAAUCCUUACACCUGAGAAGCCCCCGCCCGUGGGUGGGAGGCCGCCGGGCCGGGCGGGUCCACCUGCUGCACCACUGGUUAAAUAUAGAGCGAACUGCCUUGCCCCACACGUAUUUCCAAACACAGGCUGUGUAAAAUAAAAUGACUUAAGUGCUCAGCCCAAGAAGGAGGAAUAAAGCAAACCAAAAGGAAGCAGAAGGAAAGAAAGAGCUGAGCCGAGGAAACAGAAUCCUAAGGAUCAACAGGGGAUCAGCAAGAAAACCCCGCGAGCGCACCGAAGCCCCGCCUUCCCCUGCGGAGGUAAACUCCCACCUGCGACCCCGCGUCCGCGACGGCAGCAAGGCCUGACGUCACCGAGACCGGGCCAAUGGGCUCGGUGUGUUCGCGAGAUAAGUAGCGAAGCUGCAGAAGUCGUAAAUAACCGCAAACGGCAUCUGGAGGCGUUAAAAACACGAGGGUGGGGCGCCUGGGGGGCUCAGCUGGUUAAGCGUGGGACUUCGGCUCAGGUCAUGAUCUCACGGCUCAUGAGUUCAAGCCCCACGUUAGC